GAUGAACGCUGGCGGCGUGCCUAACACAUGCAAGUCGAACGUGAAGCUUGGUACUGUAUCAGGCUGAAAGUGGCGAACGGGUGAGUAACACGUUGGUGACCUGCCCCGAGGAGCGGGAUAACUCCUUGAAAGAGGAGCUAAUACCGCAGAUGACUGGGACUGUUAGAGGGUCCAGCCUAAAGCUUUGGACGUCUCGGGAGGGGCCUGCGGGCUAUCAGCUAGUUGGGGGGUAAGGCCUACCAAGGCGAAGACGGCUAGGGGGCGUGAGAGCGUGGACCCCNCC
rnacentral:rRNA from 1 species